UGGGGAAUAUUGCACAAUGGGGGAAACCCUGAUGCAGCGACGCCGCGUGAGUGAAGAAGUAUUUCGGUAUGUAAAGCUCUAUCAGCAGGGAAGAAAAUGACGGUACCUGACUAAGAAGCCCCGGCUAACUACGUGCCAGCAGCCGCGGUAAUACGUAGGGGGCAAGCGUUAUCCGGAUUUACUGGGUGUAAAGGGAGCGUAGACGGCGCGGCAAGUCUGAAGUGAAAGCCCGGGGCUUAACCCCGGGACUGCUUUGGAAACUGCCAUGCUAGAGUGCUGGAGAGGUAAGUGGAAUUCCUAGUGUAGCGGUGAAAUGCGUAGAUAUUAGGAGGAACACCAGUGGCGAAGGCGGCUUACUGGACAGUAACUGACGUUGAGGCUCGAAGGCGUGGGGAGCAAACA
rnacentral:rRNA from 1 species